UACGAAGGGGGCUAGCGUUGCUCGGAAUCACUGGGCGUAAAGGGUACGUAGGCGGGUUAUUAAGUCAGAGGUGAAAUCCUGGAGCUCAACUCCAGAACUGCCUUUGAUACUGAUAGUCUUGAGUAUGGGAGAGGUGAGUGGAACUGCGAGUGUAGAGGUGAAAUUCGUAGAUAUUCGCAAGAACACCAGUGGCGAAGGCGGCUCACUGGCCCAUAACUGACGCUGAGGCACGAAAGCGUGGGGAGCGAUCCGG
rnacentral:rRNA from 1 species